UACGUAGGGAGCAAGCGUUGUCCGGAAUCAUUGGGCGUAAAGCGCGCGUAGGUGGCCACAUAAGUCCGUUGUGAAAGUCAAAGGCUCAACCUUUGAAAGCCGAUGGAUACUGUGUGGCUAGAGUACGGAAGAGGCGAGUGGAAUUCCUGGUGUAGCGGUGGAAUGCGCAGAUAUCAGGAGGAACACCAAUAGCGAAGGCAGCCCGCUGGGACGUUACUGACACUGAGGCGCGAAAGCGUGGGGAGCGAACAGG
rnacentral:rRNA from 1 species